CGGACGGGUGNGUAUCACGUGGAUAACCUACCUAUAAGACUGGGAUAACUUCGGGAAACCGGAGCUAAUACCGGAUAAUAUAUUGAACCGCAUGGUUCAAUAGUGAAAGACGGUUUUGCUGUCACUUAUAGAUGGAUCCGCGCCGCAUUAGCUAGUUGGUAAGGUAACGGCUUACCAAGGCAACGAUGCGUAGCCGACCUGAGAGGGUGAUCGGCCACACUGGAACUGAGACACGGUCCAGACUCCUACGGGAGGCAGCAGGU
rnacentral:rRNA from 1 species